UACGGGAGGCAGCAGUGGGGGAUAUUGCACAAUGGGCGAAAGCCUGAUGCAGCGACGCCGCGUGAGUGAAGAAGUAUUUCGGUAUGUAAAGCUCUAUCAGCAGGGGAGAAAGGCCCGCAAGGGAGAUGACGGUACCUGACUAAGAAGCCCCGGCUAACUACGUGCCAGCAGCCGCGGUAAU
rnacentral:rRNA from 1 species